UCCUCUUCACAUCACCUGGUGAAGUCUGUCCUCCUCUGAGGAACUGCCUUUCCUCUCCACUUUCUUUCUGGUACAGUCCUGUGUGGAUGGACUCACGUGUUCCUCAUAGACCACAAGCAGCUUGGGGAUACCACCACUGGCUUAGACAUCAGUGUGCUCCAAACUAGAGCAUGGCUUGAAGGCUCUAUCAAGGCUGUCACAGACAGAGAAGGGUGGACAAAUAAAUGAAUAAAGGAACAGAGUGGCUAUCUUAUUUCCUAACAGAAGGUUUUAAUAGAUGUCAGGAAGGAAAAAAAAAAAAAGAUAUGUUACCUUAAUAGUUUGUGUCAGAACUCUUCUCAGAGGAGAAAAAACAUGAUGAGCUACCAAGACAAACAUAAAGUCUCUUUUAGGCCUUUUUUGCUGGACAGCUUCUCCUCCAGAAGUCUUCCCAUACUCCAGGCUGGGAUAAUAAGUUGCUGUGGGCCCAGCAACUUCCUGUUAGCAUUUCCGUGUUAUAUUGGAAAUACUAUAUUUAUGUGUUUGUCUCCCUUCAUAAGGCUGUAUGCUCAUUUGAAAAUGUCAUGUCCUCACUGCCUGGUAAUUUGGACACAUAGCAGAUGCUGCUGAACUCUGCAAACAGGAUUUUAAGGAAGAAUGCCUGAGGAGGCUACUGCACUAGUUACUGUGCUUGCCUGCUGAAUGCCCUAAAUUCUCCUCCAUGAAUACCUCAAGAAGACUGUUCAAUUAUUGGAUUUCUUUCUACAACAAAUCCCUGAAAAAUAGAAUACAUAAAAGGGAAAUUAGAGAAAAGAUCACUCACAAUACAUGUAUGGAAUGUAGCCUAAAGUGAUGAUUUUCUUUUAUCUUUCAAUGUCUUAACUACCUUAGUACUGCAGCUCUGGUGGGGACAAGGGGGAGGCCUGGAAUAAAUAAAUCUCCACAAUGUAGCUGGGUAAUCUCCAUUUGCCCAUUGCCAUGCAAUGUGUUUAGCCAAUACACAAACACUAGAUGGCGCCCAUAAUCUUAGAACAUUGUACAAGUCCAGCUUCAGUUUCUGUGUAGGCAAGGACGUGGGAAACAGUCCAUUAUGGGAACUAUAAAAAUAUCUACCUAAGCACUUCCCACCUCUGGUGUACUGUGAAGUACUCCUUAUGUAAGGGUUUGGUGGUCAGAAAUAUUUAGGAAAACUAUUUAUGUUAUCUUCCUGUAGGAGAUUCCCACUGCACAUGAAAAAUGCUGUUUUUGAGAAGUUCUUCAAUGAAGAGACCUGACACUAAGGAACCUAUUACAGUAGCAACCUAUUACAAUUUUGUUGUUUCAGCAUUCUGUAAAACACACUUGGUAAAUGCAGAUUUAGUUCAAAACCUGUCCCAAAGAAGGAAGAACCCAAACUAUCUUAUAAGAGUUUUUUUUUUUUUUUAAUACAUGGUUAUGUGGUACUUUUAUAAAAGGGUUUACAAUUUAGGAAAAGUUUAUAGUCUGUAUGGCAGAAUAAUUUUGUAAUGGUCUGUCCUGAUUAGUAAGGUGACUAUUACAUGAAUCCCUCAUCUAUGAAGAACAACUAAGAGCAGAGAAAGACCCCCAUCCCCAGUUUUCUUCCUGGGGGAUUUUUUCCCCUUGUUUGAACUUUCUAGUGUAAAUUGUUUACAAAUGAAUUCUACAUGACCCAGUGACACUUAAUGAAUUUUGAUUAUUAGAGUUUUGCCUCCCCCCCCAGGAAUAUAUAUAACUUGUCCCUAAAGUCCAGUGCAAGCUGCAGAAGCAAAAUAUUGUAUCUUUCAUAUCCCAUUGCUGAUAAUGACAUUUUUCUUUCCAUCUUGUAAUGUAUGAGCUUCUUGAGCCUGUUUAUAUUUUCCUCUAAUUGAUAACCCAAUGAAAUUCCAAGAAUAGCCUUGAAAUUAGCCACUCAAAGUUAAAUUUAGCAAGAUAAAAGGGUAAAAAAAGUGUUCCCUUCUCCCUUUCAAUGAAAAAGGCAGAUAAUGUCCUUGCAAAUGUUAUACAUUAAUAAAGGAUAUAGUAUCUGAA